UGCCAGCCGCCGCGGUAAUACGGAGGGUGCAAGCGUUAAUCGGAAUUACUGGGCGUAAAGGGCGCGUAGGUGGCUAUGUUAGUCGGGUGUGAAAGCCCCGGGCUCAACCUGGGAAUUGCAUUCGAAACUGCAUGGCUAGAGUACGGUAGAGGGAAGCGGAAUUCCGGGUGUAGCGGUGAAAUGCGUAGAUAUCCGGAGGAACACCAGUGGCGAAGGCGGCUUCCUGGAUCGAUACUGACACUGAGGCGCGAAAGCGUGGGGAGCAAACAGGAUUAGAUA
rnacentral:rRNA from 1 species